rnacentral:rRNA from 1 species
AAAAACAUAGCUUAAAGAAUAUAUUUUAAGUAAAUUCUGCCCAGCGUAAAUUUAAUUAGCGGCCGCAGUACCUUGACUGUGCUAAGGUAGCAUAAUCAAUUGGCUUUUAAUUGAAGUCUGGAAUGAAAGGAAAAAUAAAGAAUUAACUGUCUCUUUUUAAUUUAUGUGAAUUUAUUUAUUAAGUGAAAAUACUUAAAUUUAGAAAAAAGACGAGAAGACCCUUAGAAUUUUUAUUAAUAUUAUUUUUUUGUAUUUAUAUUUUUGUUGGGGCGACAAUGAAACAUAUUUAACUUUUAAGUUUUUCAAGACAUUAAUUUUUGUACGGUUAAAUUACCUUAGGGAUAACAGCAUAAUAAUUUAUAUAGCUUAUGACCUCGAUGUUGGACUAGGAACUAAAAGACUAACCGUCAAAAUAGAUUGUUCUGUUCGAACAAAAAUCUCCUACGUGAUCUG